GUGGAGCAGUUGGCAGCUCGUCGGGCUCAUAACCCGAAGGUCGUAGGGUCAAGUCCUGCCUCCGCAACCA
rnacentral:tRNA from 1 species